rnacentral:rRNA from 1 species
UGGGGAAUAUUGGACAAUGGGCGAAAGCCUGAUCCAGCCAUGCCGCGUGUGUGAAGAAGGUCUUCGGAUUGUAAAGCACUUUAAGUUGGGAGGAAGGGCAUUAACCUAAUACGUUAGUGUUUUUACGUUACCGACAGAAUAAGCACCGGCUAACUCUGUGCCAGCAGCCGCGGUACUACAGAGGGUGCAAGCGUUAAUCGGAAUUACUGGGCGUAAAGCGCGCGUAGGUGGUUUGUUAAGUUGGAUGUGAAAGCCCCGGGCUCAACCUGGGAACUGCAUCCAAAACUGGCAAGCUAGAGUACGGUAGAGGGUGGUGGAAUUUCCUGUGUAGCGGUGAAAUGCGUAGAUAUAGGAAGGAACACCAGUGGCGAAGGCGACCACCUGGACUGAUACUGACACUGAGGUGCGAAGGCGUGGGGAGCAAACA